UGCCCCGUGGCUGAGUUGGUUACAGCGUCCGACUGUUAAGCCUUAAACGCUAAUUAGGCAAUCAUCGGAAGGUCAUGAGUUCGAGCCUCAUCGGGGCAG